CAUAUUUUUUUUCAUAUAAUAUAUAUAUUUUUGUAUAUAUAUAUAUUUUUUUUCGUAUGUAUUUAUAUUUUACAUAUAUAUUAUCGGAAUGGGUACAAUUUAAACCCGUUAACGAGGAUCUAUGAGAGGGCAAGUCUGGUGCCAGCAGCCGCGGUAAUUCCAGCUCUCAAAGUGUAUAUCGUCAUUGCUGCGGUUAAAAAGCUCGUAGUUGGAUCUGCGUCUCAGGACCUGGUCCAUCCAUUGGAUGAGAACUGGGCUCCUAGGCUAAUAUUGCCAGUUUUCCCUACGUUACCUUGAUCGGUUGCGUAUGGUGGCUAGCAAGUUUACCUUGAAAAAAUUAGAGUGCUCAAUGCGGGCUAAUGCCUGAAUACUCGUGCAUGGAAUAAUGAAAUAGGAUCUCGGUUCUAUUUUGUUGGUUUUCUGAUCUGAGAUAAUGGUUAAGAGGGACGGACGGGGGCAUUCGUAUCGCUGCGUGAGAGGUGAAAUUCUUGGCGUGAGAGGUGAAAAAAAAAAUUACUAUUGCGAAAAUUCUCGAGAACAAAAUAUGUUUUGAACACCUGGAAUUCCCAGGCCGUUUCGAUCCAUG
rnacentral:ncRNA from 1 species